rnacentral:rRNA from 1 species
UUCCAGACUCCUACGGGAGGCAGCAGUGAGGAAUAUUGGUCAAUGGGCGGGAGCCUGAACCAGCCAAGUCGCGUGAGGGAAGACGGUCCUAUGGAUUGUAAACCUCUUUUGUCGGGGAGCAAAGAGAUCACGUGUGGUCAAAAGCGAGAGUACCCGAAGAAAAAGCAUCGGCUAACUCCGUGCCAGCAGCCGCGGUAAUACGGAGGAUGCGAGCGUUAUCCGGAUUUAUUGGGUUUAAAGGGAGCGUAGGCCGGUCUUUAAGCGUGCCGUGAAAUUUUGUGGCUCAACCAUGAGAGUGCGGUGCGAACUGGAGACCUUGAGUGCGCGGAAGGCAGGCGGAAUUCGUGGUGUAGCGGUGAAAUGCUUAGAUAUCACGAAGAACCCCGAUUGCGAAGGCAGCCUGCCGCAGCGUUACUGACGCUGAAGCUCGAAAGCGCGGGUAUCGAACAGGAUUAGAUACCCGCGUA